rnacentral:rRNA from 1 species
GACGAACGCUGGCGGCGUGCUUAACACAUGCAAGUCGAACGGAAAGGCCCUGCUUUUGUGUGGUUCUCGAGUGGCGAACGGGUGAGUAACACGUGAGUAACCUGCCCUUGACUUUCGGAUAACUUCAGGAAACUGCGGCUAAUAUCCGAUAGGAUCUCCUGCUCCAUGGUGUGGGUUGGAAAGUUUCGGCGGUUGGGGAUGGACUCGCGGCUUAUCAACUUGUUGGUGAGGUAGUGGCUUACCAAGGCUUUGACGGGUAGCCGGCCUGAGAGGGUGACCGGACACAUUGGGACUGAGGUACGGCCCAGACUGGUAGGGGAGGCAGUGGUGGGGAAUAUUGCACAGUGGGCGGAAGCGUGAUGCAGCAACGCCGCGAGCGGGAUGACGGCCUUCGAGUUGUAAACCGCUUUCGAAGGUGACGAAGCGUGAGUGACGGUAAUGGGUAAAGAAGCACCGGCUAACUACGUG